AUUGAACGCUGGCGGCAUGCCUUACACAUGCAAGUCGAACGGCAGCGGACCUUCGGGUGCCGGCGAGUGGCGAACGGGUGAGUAAAGUAUCGGAACGUACCUUUCAGUGGGGGAUAACGUAGCGAAAGUUGCGCUAAUACCGCAUAUUCUGUGAGCAGGAAAGCAGGGGAUCGCAAGACCUUGCGCUGAUUGAGCGGCCGAUAUCAGAUUAGCUAGUUGGUGAGGUAAAGGCUCACCAAGGCGACGAUCUGUAGCGGGUCUGAGAGGAUGAUCCGCCACACUGGAACUGAGACACGGUCCAGACUCCUACGGGAGGCAGCAGUGGGGAAUUUUGGACAAUGGGGGCAACCCUGAUCCAGCCAUGCCGCGUGAGUGAAGAAGGCCUUCGGGUUGUAAAGCUCUUUCGUCCGGGAAGAAAUCGCAUCAGCUAAUACCUGGUGUGGAUGACGGUACCGGAAUAAGAAGCACCGGCUAACCACGUGCCAGCAGCCGCCGUAAAAC
rnacentral:rRNA from 1 species